GUUCAUUUCAGUGGUGUUCCAGAAGGCAGCAACUGAAGUAGGACUCCUUGACCCGAGUUCUGAAACUAACAAUAUUGAAUAAGGUGCAAAAGUGGAGUUGCCUUUGGUUAUCAUAUGCAUGUGACUCCUAUUCUUGCACCUAUUUAUAUAUCAGCAUUAUUGGAACAUGGGGAGCAACCUAGUUCACAAGACGCAGUUGCUUCUGGCUGGCCUGCUUCACUUCACUUAAUUGGCAAG